UGUUCUGGGUCCGGCACCUUUGUGAAUAUUGCUGGAUCUCUGUCCAUGAUUGAAGUAGCAACUGAUGGCAGUGUCUUUGGUAUCAACUCUAAUGGGAAUUUAUACCAAAGAGUUGGCAUCACUCGAUCCAACCCUUCUGGCACACAGUGGAAUUUGAUGACUGCCUGUCCCAAUAACCACAUGCAUGUGAGCUUUGACCUGGGAGUGCUGUGGGUUGUGUGUGUUGACGGCUCCGUCCGUAAAUGCACUAUAUAGUCUGUCACAGAAUAUUAACAGAAAAUCUUGAUUAUACUUUCUUUUCUUCUCUUUUUUAUUGCUGCUGAACCAAUAAAGCAUAAUGAAAGCAUCUA